AUUGAACGCUGGCGGCAGGCCUAACACAUGCAAGUCGAGCGGUAACACAGGGAGCUUGCUCCUGGGUGACGAGCGGCGGACGGGUGAGUAAUGUCUGGGAAACUGCCUGAUGGAGGGGGAUAACUACUGGAAACGGUAGCUAAUACCGCAUAACGUCGCAAGACCAAAGAGGGGGACCUUCGGGCCUCUUGCCAUCAGAUGUGCCCAGAUGGGAUUAGCUAGUAGGUGGGGUAACGGCUCACCUAGGCGACGAUCCCUAGCUGGUCUGAGAGGAUGACCAGCCACACUGGAACUGAGACACGGUCCAGACUCCUACGGGAGGCAGCAGUGGGGAAUAUUGCACAAUGGGCGCAAGCCUGAUGCAGCCAUGCCGCGUGUAUGAAGAAGGCCUUCGGGUUGUAAAGUACUUUCAGCGGGGAGGAAGGCGAUAAGGUUAAUAACCUUGUCGAUUGACGUUACCCGCAGAAGAAGCACCGGCUAACUCCGUGCCAGCCGCCGCGGUAA
rnacentral:rRNA from 1 species